rnacentral:rRNA from 1 species
AACGAACGCUGGCGGCAUGCCUAACACAUGCGAGUCGAACGAGACCUUCGGGUCUAGUGGCGCACGGGUGCGUAACGCGUGGGAACCUGCCCUUAGGUUCGGAAUAACUCCCCGAAAGGGGUGCUAAUACCGGAUAAUGUCUUCGGACCAAAGAUUUAUCGCCUUUGGAUGGGCCCGCGUUGGAUUAGCUAGUUGGUAGGGUAAGAGCCUACCAAGGCGACGAUCCAUAGCUGGUCUGAGAGGAUGAUCAGCCAUACUGGGACUGAGACACGGCCCAGACUCCUACGGGAGGCAGCAGUGGGGAAUAUUGGACAAUGGGCGAAAGCCUGAUCCAGCAAUGCCGCGUGAGUGAUGAAGGCCUUAGGGUUGUAAAGCUCUUUUACCCGGGAUGAUAAUGACAGUACCGGGAGAAUAAGCUCCGGCUAACUCCGUG